CUGACAGAGAAGGGAGUGGAAGGCUGGAAAACUACCUGUCAGCUUCCAUGCUGCCACUACCUGUGGAUCUAAAAGUUGAACCUUAAAAAAGCAAGACAGGAAUAAAAUCAACUCAUUUGAGCUGUGGUACUGCUGGAGAAGGCUCCUGCGUAUUCCUUGGACACCAACGUGACUAACAAGCACUUUGACUUGUCAGAAAUUCACAAAAGGAAUUGAGGCCACGACUGAGCUUGGGGAACAUACAUCAGCCACAGCUUCAACAAAGGAUAUAGAGUCUUUCCCCCAGUGGAGAAGAAUCUACCACAUUUUAUUGUGCAAGUCAAAACAACUGAAUAAAAAACCUGGCAAAUUAUGC